rnacentral:tRNA from 2 species
ACCGGUGUAGCUCAUAGGCAGAGCGCGGAGAAGGGCCCGAUAACAUGACUCCGAGGUAUCAGGUUCGAUUCCUGACGCCGGUU